GGGCAGGUGGCAGAGAGGUUAUGCGCGGGACUGCAGAUCCCGUUUACUCGGGUUCGAAUCCCGACCUGCCCU
rfam:Aciduliprofundum boonei T469, complete genome.